GAUGAACGCUGGCGGCGUGCCUAAUACAUGCCAGUCGAGCGAACAGACGAGGAGCUUGCUCCUCUGACGUUAGCGGCGGACGGGUGAGUAACACGUGGAUAACCUACCUAUAAGACUGGGAUAACUUCGGGAAACCGGAGCUAAUACCGGAUAAUAUAUUGAACCGCGUGGUUCAAUAGUGAAAGACGGUUUUGCUGUCACUUAUAGAUGGAUCCGCGCCGCAUUAGCUAGUUGGUAAGGUAACGGCUUACCAAGGCAACGAUGCGUAGCCGACCUGAGAGGAUGAUCGGCCACACUGGAACUGAGACACGGUCCAGACUCCUACGGGAGGCAGCAGUAGGGAAUCUUCCGCAAUGGGCGAAAGCCUGUCGGAGCAACGCCGCGUGAGUGAUGAAGGUCUUCGGAUCGUAAAACUCUGUUAUUAGGGAAGAACAAAUGUGUAAGUAACUAUGCACGUCUUGACGGUACCUAAUCAGAAAGCCACGGCUAACUACGUG
rnacentral:rRNA from 1 species